rnacentral:rRNA from 1 species
UUGCUCUUCAACGAGGAAUACCUAGNAAGNGNGAGUCAUCAGCUCGCGUUGAUUACGUCCCUGCCCUUUGUACACACCGCCCGUCGCUACUACCGAUUGAAUGGCUUAGUGAGGCCUUGGGAUUGGCUUCGGGGAGCCGGCAACGGCACCCUGUUGCUGAGAACUUGGUCAAACUUGGUCAUUUAGAGGAAGUAAAAGUCGUAACAAGGUUUCCGUAGGUGAACCUGCGGAAGGAUCAUUAACGAGUUUUGAAAGGGUUGUAGCUGGUCUCAAUCUGAGGCAUGUGCACGCCCUACUCAUCCACUCUCAACCUCUGUGCACUUACUGUAGGUCGGUGAAAGGUUCGCUCUGCGAGCUGGAAGCCUUCCUAUGUUUCACUACAAACGCUUCAGUUUUAGAAUGUAACCUUGCGUAUAACGCAUCUAUAUACAACUUUUAGCAACGGAUCUCUUGGCUCUCGCAUCGAUGAAGAACGCAGCGAAAUGCGAUAAGUAAUGUGAAUUGCAGAAUUCAGUGGAUCAUCGAAUCUUUGAACGCACCUUGCGCUCCCUGGUACUCCGGGGAGCACGCCUGUUUGAGUGUCAUGGUAUUCUCAACCUUCAUAACUUUUGUUAUCGAAGGCUUGGAUUUGGAGGUUGUGCUGGCUCUCGUUAGUCGGCUCCUCUUAAAUGCAUUAGCGUGAACGUUUGCCGAUCGCUAUCAGUGUGAUAAUUAUCUGCGCUGUUAGUGUUGAAGCAUCAUUAGUGUCGCGCUUCUAACCGUCCUUCACAGGACAAUUUACUUUGACAUCUGACCUCAAAUCAGGCGGGACUACCCGCUGAACUUAAGCAUAUCAAUAAGCGGAGGA